UACGGAGGGUGCAAGCGUUGUCCGGAAUCACUGGGCGUAAAGGGCGCGUAGGCGGCUCAUGAAGGCUGUGGUGAAAGUCCGGGGCUCAACCUCGGAUCGGCCGUGGCGACUCGUGGGCUGGAGCACUGUAGAGGCGGGUGGAAUUCCGGGUGUAGCGGUGGAAUGCGUAGAGAUCCGGAAGAACACCGAUGGCGAAGGCAGGUCUCUGGGCCGAUACUGACGCUGAGGAGCGAAAGCGUGGGGAGCGAACAGG
rnacentral:rRNA from 1 species